rnacentral:pre_miRNA from 1 species
UUAAAAAAAAAUUGUAUGUGGAGUUGGAACGUUCGCCUACGUUUGCCGCUAGGGGCGCUGUUUCAACUGCAUACUUUGAGUUA